rnacentral:rRNA from 1 species
UACGGGGGGUGCGAGCGUUGUCCGGAAUCACUGGGCGUAAAGGGCGCGUAGGUGGCGUGAUAAGGGUGUGGUGAAAGCCCGGGGCUCAACCCCGGGUCUGCCAUGCCGACUGUCAGGCUAGAGUACUGUAGGGGCAGGCGGAAUUCCGGGUGUAGCGGUGGAAUGCGUAGAGAUCCGGAGGAAGACCGGUGGCGAAGGCGGCUCACUGGCCCGGUACUGACGCUGAGGUGCGAAAGCGUGGGGAGCAAACAGG